rnacentral:lncRNA from 1 species
CUUAGCCUCAUCCACCUUGAAAGUUGCACCACACACCUGACCAGAACUAUCAACUAUUGGGACAGGCUUCACCUCAUUAAGUGGAUGCUCAAAACUGCUCAAACCUCCGGAUGUUAUAAAGAAGAAUCCUAAACAAGCAAUAAUACAAGUUAGUUGUUUCCGCAUGAUGUAUAAUUUGGAAUAAUAGGAGGACCUUGAAAUGGGAAA